UCGAGUAGAGGCGCAUUCAUUAUAAGUAUAUUUCAGGAACUUGAAGGAAGUUAUGACUGAAGUAAAAAGGGAUGAGUGCCGAAACAAUCAAUCGCCUUCCGGUUGGUUGUUGGGCCCUAACUUAAGAGGUUAGGGACUGUCGUGGCAGAUACCGCGGGGAGCUAUCA
rnacentral:ncRNA from 1 species